AGCAGCCGCGGUAAUUCCAGCUCCAAUAGCGUAUAUUAAAGUUGUUGCAGUUAAAAAGCUCGUAGUUGAAUUUCGGGGUCAGUAGGCUGGUCGUGCCACAGGUACGUACUGGUCUCACUGAUUCCUCCUUCCUGAUGAACCGUAAUGCCAUUAAUUUGGUGUUGCGGGGAAACUGGACUGUUACUUUGAAAAAAUUGGAGUGUUUAAAGCAGGCUAACGCUUGAAUACAUUAGCAUGGAAUAAUGAAAUAGGACGUUCGAUCCUAUUUUGUUGGUUUCUAGGAUUGACGUAAUGAUUAAUAGGGAUAGUUGGGGGCAUUAGUAUUCAAUUGUCAGAGGUGAAAUUCUUGGAUUUAUUGAAGACUAACUACUGCGAAAGCAUUUGCCAAGGAUGUUUUCAUUAAUCAAGAACGAAAGUUAGGGGAUCGAAGACGAUCAGAUACCGUCGUGGUCUUAACCAUAAACUAUGCCGACUAGGAAUCGGAUGAUGUUAAUUUUUAAUGACUCAUUCGGCGCCUUAC
rnacentral:rRNA from 1 species